ensembl:snRNA U6 U6 spliceosomal RNA
CCAAAUGGAUAUGGCAGUACUAAAGCUGGAACGAUACAGAGAAGAUGAGCACGGCCCCUGUGCAAGGAUGACACACAAAUUCAUAAAGCGUUCCAUAUUUUU